GAAGUCGGAAUUGCUAGUAAUCGCGGAUCAGCAUGCCGCGGUGAAUACGUUCCCGGGCCGUUGUACACACCGCCCGUCACACCAUGGGAGUCGGUAACACCCGAAGCCUGUAGUCUAACCGCAAGGAGGACGCAGUCGAAGGUGGGAUUGAUGACUGGGGUGAAGUCGUAACAAGGUAAC
rnacentral:rRNA from 1 species